GUUCAGCCUCAGAACUCAUGUAUAAAUGUGGGCAGGGAGGGUGCAAAGAGGAUGGAUCCAGGCUCUUCUUGGUGGAGCAGUAGGCAGCCGGCAGAAACCGAUGCACAGGAAGUUUCACGAAUAUGACGAAAAACUUCUUUACCGUGCGGGUGACCACGCACCGGAACAGACUGCCCAGGUCACAGCCAACUUAUCCAGCACGGACCCCAAGUGAAGCAGGACUGCCGAGCACCUUCUCCUCCGCAGCAAAACACCAGAAACCUCCCUGCUCACAAAUCACCCCCUUCCCUCCCUUUUUGUUACCGUUUCUCCCUAUUCUCCAGCUCCCUGGGCUUUGUUUCUCACUGCAACCCAGGCGAGAGCCGGAUCGAUAACCCGCUGCCACAUCCCAACAAACACACUCAAAAGUCCAAAGAUAACAAAGGAAAAGUGAUAAAAAUCCCUCCACCUCGGUGAUAACUUUCAAGGCAAGCAGGAAAGAGCAGGCAGAGAUGAAGUUCAGCAGGCAGGAGCAUCUUUGAGAGUUAGGAGAGGAGAAGUAGCUUACCUUGCCGUGACGCACAUGGAGGGGUUAUUUUUGUUUUCCGCUGCACUUGGAUUGCUGUGUCCUUUGCUUGUGACACUCCGGGACUCGAAUGGUGGCACCGCUGUGUGACACCCGGUAUUAGGGAGGCUGCUGGAGCCGUCCCUCCCACGGUAGGAGGGGCCAUGAGAGGCUUAAUAAAUUCAGUUCCCAAGGCUAGAAAAAUUAAAAUCUCAUCAUGGGACACAGGCAGCUCCUCGCUGCAUUGCUCCAGGAGACGCCAGGGACUUGAAGACGAACCUGGGAUUGGCUGAUUUAUCCCUCACCCACCCAGAACAGGAGAGGCUGGUAUUCACAUCCCACCUUGGCAGAAUUAGGUGUCCAGAGGAUGGGAUUUGAGGAAGUAUCCCAAAGGAUAUUUGGGAAAGAUGUGUCAUCGUUGACCCUCAGAAUUAAAGCUCCUGAACCUCCUUCAUGAAAAUAUUUUCCACGGCUCUAAGCCCCAGGCAGGAAUCCACUGCAGCAGAUUUGUGGGCAACCCCGGUGCAAAACCUGCUUAUUUUACUUAUUUUUUUACAUGGUUUUGGCCUUUAAUAUCUAAAUCCUAUUAGAGUUAUAACUUCCUUUGAGGGGGGAGAGGGGAUAGGUCAGUACAACAAAAGCAGGUUGUGUUUUGUAACCUCCAAUGCACCCUGGACUUUCAGAGAGGCAAAAUCCCACCAUAAAGUUUCUCAGGAUAGGAAACUGUACAACCUCAUGCAGCUCCUCCUGCUCCAUAGAAGUUCUUCACUGCACGAAAGGCUAAAAAAACAUUCCCUCCAGCUUCAGAGGACUCUCUGAAACACCACUGGUGCAGUUUUUUCAUCCCUGUGGUUUCUCACAUUGAGUUUUUUCUUGUUAGAUGAAAAGACAGACCAGGGGGUCCCUCUACGACUGCUCUUGGAAACAGAGAGAGCAAGAACAGGCCAGAAAUAAUGGCCCAGCAGUUUUUGAGAAAGAGAAACUUUUAAUUAGAAGAUGAGCUACAGAGAUGACAGCCUGGUUCGCUCUGAAACCUAAUGAUGAGCAGAAGGCAUAUAAGAGUUCCUUUAAGACAGUCUUGCUAAUCCUUACUUUGCACUAGGUCCUAAAAUAACAUCACUCCCCCUUUGGAAUUGGGAGAAUUGGAAUAGGAAUUGGAAUUGGAAUUAAAUGCAGGAACCACAAGACAUGGAGGUAAAAGCAGCUGUUUUUAUUGCUGGUUUCCCAGCUAACACUUAGCUGGCUGGAGUAAAAAUGCAUAGGAUUGUGUGUCAGCCUCAACAGCCUCUAGAAAUAUUAGUUGCUUUUUGGUCUGAUUCCUGGAAAUCUGAUAAAUAAGGCAGGAAAGGGUGAGAUUAAGAAGGCUGGUGGCACUAAUGAGAUUUAGGAAGCAGCAGCUUUUCCAGGUACCCUGCAGUCUUAAUCUCCUGAGUUGAUCCACUGGAUUUUUCUUCUUAUGUAUUUGUGGCCAUGUUGAGCUCAGCUUCAUCACGAGGCCACACUAAGGUCCUGAAGGUCCAUACUCAGGGAAUGGGGAUGGCCUGGAAGAUUUGAGGAGGAGUGGAGAGCCCAGAGGGCAUGAGCACUUUGCUCUGCCUUUGAAGCCAGUAGUAGGGUCAACACUCCCAAAAAAAACUUUUGAAGGGGCUUCACCAUCAUCCCUACCCAGGCUGCUGUUCUUCCAGCUGCUGCAUCCUCAAGCUGUGGAUGAACUCUAAGGGGUACGUGGGGAUAAGAGGACAGGGUUGAGUAACAUCAUCAGCACAAAAAAGCUCCCUACAGUGGAGGGAAGAGCCCUGAAAAAUUAAAAAGGUUAUUAAAAGCACAACCAUAGCCUUACCUCCUUACAAGCAAAGAAACUCCAAAUAUCCCUCUUCUCUGCCCUAAAAUAUUGCUGUGGUUUUGCUUUCUUCUGGGUUUAGAGAUGCAAAGCCUUCAGCACCACAGUUUGCUCUGCAAACACCCAGCAAAUCAGCUGGGAAGAUGUUGCUCUGGGUUCAGUGUCUUCAGUUCAGAGUUCCCUGGCUUAUCUCAACUACAAAAUCCUCACGCAGUGUCCCAGCCAAUGUCCUAGACCUACCAGAAGCUGGGACUGAGGGCAAGCAAGGAUCAGCUGGAGCCCUGCCAGAAAGCCCAGCCUUGGAGUUUAUGAGCCCAUAAAGGAAAUGCCUGCAAGGGACUGGUGCUGUACGAACCCACUCCAAGGAUAUCAGCAGGGCAGGUCAGCCUUGAACCCGAUGAGUUUUGCCUCUGUUUGUGUCAGGAGAAGAUAAAACCAGGGGGAAAAUAGCACAAACAGGGAGCAAGGAUGGUCUCCUUGCCCAGCUGCCAGCCCCACCAUGGAGCCUUUUGUUGCGAAAUACAUACAUUCACAUCCUCCUACCCUAAAUCCUACCCAGUUCAGGACAUUUGCCCUCUCCCAACACACUGCCUUGGCAGCAUAAAGAGUCUAGCAUGUGUCCCCAUCGCCCCCCCCGCACUGCUCAUGUGCACAAAGAACAGCUGCUGAGCCUUGAGAGCAGGUGACUCAUGCAGGUAACAACAUCCCCAUGAGAUUAAUGACAGAAAUGGCACUGUUUAUGGCAUUUCCAGGAAUGAUAAGGGAGGUGGAGGGAGAAGGAGGUGACCUGAACUGAUCCAAGCUUCAGGCCUUAUUCUCCUGGUGGACAGCAGACACAGGUCUGCUGGCACAGACCCCCACAGCCAUGGGCAAGCAGCGUCUGCCAUUUGCAGCAAGUGGUAUCCCACCAAAAAGUAGAAAUGUCAGUCACUGGAGGCACAGAGGAUGGGCUGGGGGGGAAAGGGACCCUGGGCAGCUUCAAGCCCCAUCACAAGAGAGCAGAGACGCCUCCAGAACCACAACAAGCAGCAUGUCCAAGUAUGAAGAUGUUGACAAUCAACUUCACACCGAGCCCCAGAGGAUAAGGCUGCGGGGGGAAGGGGGAGGUGUCUCUCUUGCCGUCUCCCAGCCUGAACUCUUUGACAUACAGCUCUGACGCAUCAAAAACAGGGAGACCAUCAGCUCCUGCAAAGUGUUGAUGUGGGGAGACUCAGGGUAAAGCAGAGGCACCGUGCAAAUGGGGAGCAGAAGGUUUUGCAAAAUGCUGGCAAACCUCCACAGAAAACAGGGCCUGACUCUGCUCCUGCAUUCUGGGACAUCUCCUUCACCAUCACUUCUCCAGCUGCUUGAAUUGAUCAGAGUUAUUUUUAAGCCCAUUUGGUCCCAAGAAAUGCUCCCGUCCCUUCCUGAAGGAUGGCAGUGGCUGUGGAUAAUGUUGCAAAGCCCAACAAGUUGUGCCAAAGACAUGGCAGUUUCUUUGGAGUAUGUAGCCCACCAGAUGCAAAGCUUACCCCUAUUUUCAGAAUAUAAACUCAAAAAAUGACCUCGUGUAGGCAGAAUUGCCAGGCAAGUCCUCCCGAGUCCUGGGGUUCAGUGAGGGUCUCUGAGUGUUGUUCCCGAGCGAGCAACAUCGCUCGGGUGGACAGUAAAGGAGGGCCAGAUGGAUUUAUCACACAGCCUAACUGUGGGGAACCAGCCCCACGGCACAAAUACAAGCCGUGUUGGGUGGAUGGAAGGAGCUUUCACAUCGUUCUCAAAGCAACCGGCAGGGGCAAACUCUGCCUCUCACAGCUGUUGCUGCAGCAACUCCGCCGCCCGCUCUCCCACGGCUGCUGGCACCACAGCCAGGCUGAUACAGCCGUGUGUAAAGGGGGAAAGGGGCAAUUCUCACCCUUCUUCCAUAUUUUAUGGCUGUCCUUUAUGAAAUGACAUCAUUUUGUUCUUUCCUGGAAGAAAUUGGGGAAUCGCAACGCACCGAGGAGGAUGCAAUUUGAGUUACUCUGAGGGGCCAAGGGAGUCCCAGAGGGGUAAAUCAGAUGCAAGGACCAGUGAGGAAGAAGAGGGUGUGAUGAAACGUCCCUUGGCCAAAUGUUUCUGUGUCCAAGAAACAUAAUGUGGCAAACAUUGCUGGAGGACCGUGACAGAUCUCAGGAGUGAAACACGUCAGAGUUUUGUUUCAUGAGCACACAGGCAGCUGCUCUGUGCUUCCCUCUCCUGCCUCAUCCCCCUCUUUUGUGGGUGAAUCUCGAGGCCCAUGUUAGCCACUACCCUGAUGGUUCUCUUCACCAGAGUGGUGAGAACACCUGCUGCUCCUCAGUGGGGAUAUUGCAGCAAAGUCCCCCACUGUCCCAGGGUUAUAAACCACCCUUCAGGGAACUGAGCAGCCUGUGAGCCCCUGAGCCCCAAUGAGUUUUGUGGGGACACAGAGCCAGUGUCCCAUUUAGGACAAUCAACAAUGUUUCCCACCACUCAGGCUCUUAAAACUCUCCUGUGUUCCAUGUCUCCCAGCCUGGGCCAUGCUGCUUGUACUGUGGCUUUGUCACCAUGGAGCCUCUUGAGUGACACUUGUCAUCACCAGGAUGAGCCCCGAGACCUCAGGGGGUGCUUCUUACCCUUCACAUGGCUGGGUAGCACAGGCAAGCAGAGCCAGGCUUGUCAGUGGGCGCAACUAUCAAUGAGACCUCCCUUCCCCAGCACACCAGUGCCAGUGGUGACAUUGCCAAAGCUCUUGCACACGCCUGGGAGCACCCAGCCCACCCUGCCCGGUACAAGGUGACACCUGAGCUGGAUGGUGCCUGCUGUGGGGACGCCACCAUCUCUCUCUGCCCCAGUGUUACCACUGAUCUCUUGCCGGUCCUUCCUGGGCUGGCACCAACCUAAUGGACUCUUCAUGGUGGCAAAAGAAAUAGGACAACUUAUGUGUCGAUCCCUGGACUGGGCUAUUCCCAAAGCCCGGAGUGCUUCAGAGUGACUACAAAACACAAAGACUUCGAGUGAGAGGUGGGGUUAAAGCCUAAUGUGGUUAAGAAGUGUGAAGAGUAGAAGAAAGUAGUGGACUCACCAUUCAUGCAGCCAUGAGGUUGGGGAAUGAGAGGGAGUGGGGCUGGGGGGAGCAGUUUGCCUCCCUGUUCACUCCCCUCUUGUGCCAGACAAGAUUCCCUCCCCUUCCCCCUUCGUGCAUAUCGCUCUCCACUGGUGAGAAAAGAGAGGGCUGUUACCUGCCCACUGCCCUCCAGGGGCAGAUGAUCCAGGCACUACUGAGCCUUGGACAUCAUUACAGCUGUACAUGUGGCCAGAAGGACCCUGACCUUGACUACCAGAAGAUCUGUUAGCCCCAGAUUUCUGCAGGUUAGUGGUUUUAAGGCACAAGGUGUGGGGUGAGGGACAAGUCCUGUUCACUUCACCCCAACUGCAUUCAGAGGGGACAAGCCUCUGCUCAGCAGCACCUCACAGCCUCUCUCAACGUUGCCAGCCAUCGUGGUGCAGUGGUGAUGUGCCCCUUCUCCCUUACCAGGCUUAACUGAUAUGUCAGCGCAGCCCUGGUCCACCAGAAAGUUCCACCAGACCUGAGGAAGCAUGAGGGUGUUGGCAGACACCCUCCCUGUUGAUGUACACAGAGGACCCAGCAUUAGGGACCUGUGCUGGGAUGGGAGCAGAGGGCCUGUCCUUGAUGGUUCACACGUUAACUCAUGGCCUUGGCAGGGGAACACAUUUGCCUUACGAGGCUGCUGAAACCUGUAAGUGUAGAUAAUAACACCAAAAUGCAAGAGGAGCAAAGCUGGAGUUGGGGUGAUCACAGGGGAACAGGCAUACCAGCACACCAGAUUCCAUGUCAGGACAAUCUCCUUAUCCAUGCUGAUGUGCCCCGGCUGCCUCCAGCGUUCAUCCUCCAAAAGAAACAUAAGUUUCUUUUUGUGUUGCUCGUGGAAAAUGAGAUACAUAAAAAGAAAGGAAUCUUCAGUGCCGGGAGGGGGCAGCACAGCCCUGGGAAUGGGGAAGGUUCAGGCAAGCCCAGGCAAGCUCCCUGCUCACCGUGUUCAAGCUACAGACAGAUCCUCCUCAAAAUGAGCUUCAGAACCAAAACUUGAAUGUCUUCCGGGUGCUGCUGAAAAUGAGGGACCCAGGCAAAGCAUCCUCUGUGUGAGGAGCUGCAGUUUUCCCUGCAGCAUGUAAUAAAGAGCACCUCUUCUCUGUCGUACCUA